GCUAGCGUUGUUCGGAAUUACUGGGCGUAAAGGGCGCGUAGGCGGUUUGUUUAGUCGGGGGUGAAAUCCCGGGGCUCAACCCCGGAACUGCAUUCGAUACUGGCAGGCUAGAGACCGGAAGAGGUGGGUGGAAUACCCAGUGUAGAGGUGAAAUUCGUAGAUAUUGGGUGGAACACCGGUGGCGAAGGCGGCUCACUGGUCCGGUUCUGACGCUGAGGCGCGAAAGCGUGGGGAGCAAACAGG
rnacentral:rRNA from 1 species